UACUCUUGGCUCCUUACUCCAUUGUCCCAACCUGAUUCUCCUGCUGAACACAGUUACAAUCAUGCACAUAAGGCUACGCGGAAUGUGAUAGAAAGAUGUUUUGGUGUGCUGAAGUCACGGUUUCGGUGUCUGGAUAAAUCUGCCGGACUUUUGUUGUAUAGUCCCUCAAAGGUGACUAGAAUUGUGUUCUGCUGCUGUUUUCUCCAUAAUCUGUGUUUAAGUCAACAUCUGGCACAUGAUGAGGGAGAAAGCAGUCAGCAAGCAGAGGAGUUAGAACCAUCUGGUGACAGUGUGAGUACAAAUGUAGGGAGGCAGGUACGGCAAGAAGUGAUCCUGCGAUAUUUUUCAGAUAACUGAGGUGAUCGGGGCUCAUCACUCUGAGAACUCGCCAAUAGUGCCAGUGGUGGCUGGGGUGACACUGCCGAAAGUCGUCGCCUGGGUGGGGAUGAUGGAGCCGCAGAUUCCGAGGCAAGACGCCGUGUCGAACUUGGCCUCCUGGAAUAUGUGACUACAGUGAAGACUUACCUGCAAUACCAGCCUCAUCCUGACUUGUCUGAGGCCUGUCUGGCCGGCUGGUCUGUGUGACUGUUGAAAAAGUGGACCAAACAUUAUUACCAUGCUUUGUGUAAAAACAACCACUGCAAAGCCUUAUUGUACUGUAACCAUCUAUUAGGUAUUGGUUAAACAAAUAAUUUCAGCUUAAGAGCUUCUAGCUUCAUUAUUUUGAGUUGUAUAUACAAAUGUACAUGAUGUGGCACACAAUAAAUAUGUUACAUUUUUGAAUUAUGCCUC